rnacentral:rRNA from 1 species
UACGUAGGGCGCAAGCGUUAUCCGGAAUUAUUGGGUGUAAAGAGCUCGUAGGCGGUUUGUCGCGUCGGGAGUGAAAACCCAGGGCUUAACUCUGGGCUUGCUUUCGAUACGGGCAGACUAGAGGUAUGCAGGGGAGGACGGAAUUCCUGGUGUAGCGGUGAAAUGCGCAGAUAUCAGGAGGAACACCGGUGGCGAAGGCGGUUCUCUGGGCAUUACCUGACGCUGAGGAGCGAAAGUGUGGGGAGCGAACAGG